rnacentral:rRNA from 1 species
GGCUAAACCAUGCACCGAAGCUGCGGCAGCGACACUAUGUGUUGUUGGGUAGGGGAGCGUUCUGUAAGCCUGCGAAGGGGUGCUGUGAGGCAUGCUGGAGGUAUCAGAAGUGCGAAUGCUGACAUAAGUAACGAUAAAGCGGGUGAAAAGCCCGCUCGCCGGAAGACCAAGGGUUCCUGUCCAACGUUAAUCGGGGCAGGGUGAGUCGACCCCUAAGGCGAGGCCGAAAGGCGUAGUCGAUGGGAAACAGGUUAAUAUUCCUGUACUUGGUGUUACUGCGAAGGGGGGACGGAGAAGGCUAUGUUAGCCGGGCGACGGUUGUCCCGGUUUAAGCAUGUAGGCUGGUUGUCCAGGCAAAUCCGGAUAACCAAGGCUGAGGUGUGAUGACGAGGCACUACGGUGCUGAAGUAACAAAUGCCCUGCUUCCAGGAAAAGCCUCUAAGCAUCAGGUAACAUUAAAUCGUACCCCAAACCGACACAGGUGGUCAGGUAGAGAAUACCAAGGCGCUUGAGAGAACUCGGGUGAAGGAACUAGGCAAAAUGGUGCCGUAACUUCGGGAGAAGGCACGCUGG